rnacentral:rRNA from 1 species
UGGAUACGUUCGACGUGCUAUACAUGCAAGUCGAACGAAACUUUCUUACACCGAAUGCUUGCAUUCACCGUAAGAAGUUGAGUGGCGGACGGGUGAGUAACACGUGGGUAACCUGCCUAAAAGAAGGGGAUAACACUUGGAAACAGGUGCUAAUACCGUAUAUCUCUAAGGAUCGCAUGAUCCUUAGAUGAAAGAUGGUUCUGCUAUCGCUUUUAGAUGGACCCGCGGCGUAUUAACUAGUUGGUGGGGUAACGGCCUACCAAGGUGAUGAUACGUAGCCGAACUGAGAGGUUGAUCGGCCACAUUGGGACUGAGACACGGCCCAAACUCCUACGGGAGGCAGCAGUAGGGAAUCUUCCACAAUGGACGCAAGUCUGAUGGAGCAACGCCGCGUGAGUGAAGAAGGUCUUCGGAUCGUAAAACUCUGUUGUUAGAGAAGAACACGAGUGAGAGUAACUGUUCAUUCGAUGACGGUAUCUAACCAGCAAGUCACGGCUAACUACGUGCCAGCAGCCGCGGUAAUACGUAGGUGGCAAGCGUUGUCCGGAUUUAUUGGGCGUAAAGGGAACGCAGGCGGUCUUUUAAGUCUGAUGUGAAAGCCUUCGGCUUAACCGGAGUAGUGCAUUGGAAACUGGAAGACUUGAGUGCAGAAGAGGAGAGUGGAACUCCAUGUGUAGCGGUGAAAUGCGUAGAUAUAUGGAAGAACACCAGUGGCGAAAGCGGCUCUCUGGUCUGUAACUGACGCUGAGGUUCGAAAGCGUGGGUAGCAAACAGGAUUAGAUACCCUGGUAGUCCACGCCGUAAACGAUGAAUGCUAGGUGUUGGAGGGUUUCCGCCCUUCAGUGCCGCAGCUAACGCAAUAAGCAUUCCGCCUGGGGAGUACGACCGCAAGGUUGAAACUCAAAGGAAUUGACGGGGGCCCGCACAAGCGGUGGAGCAUGUGGUUUAAUUCGAAGCAACGCGAAGAACUUACCAGGUCUUGACAUCCUUUGACACCUAAGAGAUAGGCUUCCCUUCGGGGACAAAGUG